GGAUCUUUAGCUUAAAUGGUAGAGCACUUGAGAAAUGGAACAUGUCUCCAAUAUCUCAUGAGGAUAGUGGUUCAAAUCCACUAGGAUCCA
rnacentral:tRNA from 1 species